rnacentral:lncRNA from 1 species
AACUCAUGUCUGAUUAAAAGAGUUACUUCAGUUCUGCAUAAACAUUUGGAUGGCUAUAAACCAUUAGAGUUGUUGAAGAUAACUCAAGAAUUAACUUUUCUGCAUUUCCAAAGGAAGGAGUUUUUUGCGAAACUUAGAGAAUUACUGCUUAGUUAUUUGAAAAAUAGUUUCAUACCAACUGAGGUGUCUGUUCUGGUCCGUGCUAUUUCCCUGCUCCCUUCUCCUCACUUGGACGAAGUGGGGAUAUCCCGAAUUGAAGCCGUUUUACCACAGUGUGACCUAAAUAACCUGAGUAGUUUUGCCACAUCUGUUUUAAGAUGGAUUCAGCAUGAUCACAUGUAUUUGGAUAAUAUGACUGCGAAACAACUGAAACUACUUCAAAAAUUAGAUCACUAUGGUCGUCAGAGACUACAACACAGCAACAGUUUGGAUCUGUUACGGAAGGAACUUAAAUCUCUCAAAGGAAACACGUUUCCUGAGUCACUUCUUGAAGAAAUGAUUGCUACUUUACAGCAUUUCAUGGAUGAUAUUAAUUACAUAAAUGUUGGGGAGAUUGCAUCUUUUAUUUCUAGUACUGAUUACCUCAGUACUUUGCUACUAGAUAGGAUAGCCUCAGUGGCUGUUCAGCAGAUUGAAAAGAUCCAUCCUUUUACAAUCCCUGCUAUUAUUCGUCCAUUCAGCGUAUUGAACUAUGAUCCACCUCAAAGGGAUGAAUUUUUGGGAACUUGCGUGCAACAUCUUAAUUCUUACUUAGGUAUAUUGGAUCCUUUUAUAUUAGUGUUUCUUGGUUUCUCUUUGGCCACACUUGAAUAUUUUCCAGAAGAUCUGCUAAAGGCAAUUUUUAACAUCAAAUUCUUAGCUAGAUUGGAUUCUCAACUUGAAAGUAUGUAUCUAUCUUUUAAUUUAUUUAAUUAUCUGUUGUACUUUAUAUCCAAGUCUCAGGUCUAUCUAUACUGAAGAAUUUUAAUGUUAAUAACUUUUUUCUGUUUCUAAUAGUAUUCAUGCUUAUUGUAGAAAUUUGGAAAACACAGGAA